CUAAGCUAAAGGAGGAGGUACACUCUGGAACAUAUCAUUCCCAGGGAGGAGGAAUAGAGCAACGAUGGAUCCACACAGUGGACACUCCUGUGGACAUUCCUUUGGCCAAGGCUGAUGACAGUGGGGUGGUGGAGAAGAGACUCACAGUGCAAAGCCAGCAUGCAGACUUGUGCUCCCUGUGACAAAACACCCCUCACCUAGUAUGGUUGGAUGGAAACAGUUCUGUGCAAACUGCAGGAAGUUUCUCUGCAGUGUCUACUGCAGUUUGGGACUCUGCCUGGCUCUGCUACACCUGAAUUUUUUAUUCUGGAAUCUAAGCUAAAGGAGGAGGUACACUCUGGAACAUAUUCCCAGGGAGGAGGAAUAGAGCAAUGAUGGAUCCACACAGUGGACACUCCUGUUGACAUUCCUUUGGCCAAGG